CCUACGGGAGGCUGCAGUGAGGAAUAUUGGUCAAUGGACGAGAGUCUGAACCAGCCAGGUAGCGUGAAGGAUGACUGCCCUAUGGGUUGUAAACUUCUUUUAUAUGGGAAUAAAACGUUCCACGUGUGGGAUUUUGUAUGUACCAUAUGAAUAAGGAUCGGCUAACUCCGUGCCAGCAGCCGCGGUAAUACGGAGGAUCCGAGCGUUAUCCGGAUUUAUUGGGUUUAAAGGGAGCGUAGGUGGAUUGUUAAGUCAGUUGUGAAAGUUUGCGGCUCAACCGUAAAAUUGCAGUUGAAACUGGCAGUCUUGAGUACAGUAAAGGUAGGCGGAAUUCGUGGUGUAGCGGUGAAAUGCUUAGAUAUCACGAAGAACUCCGAUUGCGAAGGCAGUUCACUGGACUGCAACUGACACUGAGGCUCGAAGGUGUGGGUAUCAAACAGGAUUAGAUACCCUUGUAGUC
rnacentral:rRNA from 1 species